GACGAACGCUGGCGGCGUGCUUAACACAUGCAAGUCGAACGGUAAGGCCCUUCGGGGUACACGAGUGGCGAACGGGUGAGUAACACGUGGGUGAUCUGCCCUGCACUUCGGGAUAAGCCUGGGAAACUGGGUCUAAUACCGGAUAGGACUCCUGGCUUCAUGGUUGGGGGUGGAAAGCUUUUGCGGUGUGGGAUGGGCCCGCGGCCUAUCAGCUUGUUGGUGGGGUAAUGGCCUACCAAGGCGACGACGGGUAGCCGGCCUGAGAGGGUGACCGGUCACACUGGGACUGAGAGACGGCCCAGACUCCUACGGGAGGCAGCAGUGGGGAAUAUUGCACAAUGGGCGCAAGCCUGAUGCGGCGACGCCGCGUGAGGGAUGACGGGCUGCGGGUUGUAAACCUCUUUCAGCUAUGACGAAGCGCAAGUGACGGUAGUAGCAGAAGAAGGACCGGCCAACUACGUGCCAGCCGCCGCCGUAA
rnacentral:rRNA from 1 species